rnacentral:rRNA from 1 species
AGUGAACGCUGGCGGUAGGCCUAACACAUGCAAGUCGAACGGCAGCACAGUAAGAGCUUGCUCUUACGGGUGGCGAGUGGCGGACGGGUGAGGAAUACAUCGGAAUCUACUUUUUCGUGGGGGAUAACGUAGGGAAACUUACGCUAAUACCGCAUACGACCUACGGGUGAAAGCAGGGGAUCUUCGGACCUUGCGCGAUUGAAUGAGCCGAUGUCGGAUUAGCUAGUUGGCGGGGUAAAGGCCCACCAAGGCGACGAUCCGUAGCUGGUCUGAGAGGAUGAUCAGCCACACUGGAACUGAGACACGGUCCAGACUCCUACGGGAGGCAGCAGUGGGGAAUAUUGGACAAUGGGCGCAAGCCUGAUCCAGCCAUACCGCGUGGGUGAAGAAGGCCUUCGGGUUGUAAAGCCCUUUUGUUGGGAAAGAAAAGCAGCAGGUUAAUACCCCGCUGUUCUGACGGGACCCAAAGAAGAAGCACCGGCUAACUUCGG